rnacentral:rRNA from 1 species
GAUGAACGCUGGCGGCGUGCCUAAUACAUGCAAGUCGAGCGAACAGACGAGGAGCUUGCUCCUCUGACGUUAGCGGCGGACGGGUGAGUAACACGUGGAUAACCUACCUAUAAGACUGGGAUAACUUCGGGAAACCGGAGCUAAUACCGGAUAACAUGUUGAACCGCAUGGUUCAACAGUGAAAGACGGUUUUGCUGUCACUUAUAGAUGGAUCCGCGUCGCAUUAGCUAGUUGGUAAGGUAACGGCUUACCAAGGCAACGAUGCGUAGCCGACCUGAGAGGGUGAUCGGCCACACUGGAACUGAGACACGGUCCAGACUCCUACGGGAGGCAGCAGUAGGGAAUCUUCCGCAAUGGGCGAAAGCCUGACGGAGCAACGCCGCGUGAGUGAAGAAGGUCUUCGGAUCGUAAAACUCUGUCAUUAGGGAAGAACAAAUGUGUAAGUAACUAUGCACGUCUUGACGGUACCUAAUCAGAAAGCCACGGCUAACUACGUG